rnacentral:rRNA from 1 species
GACGAACGCUGGCGGCGUGCUUAACACAUGCAAGUCGAACGGAAAGGCCCUGCUUUUGUGGGGUGCUCGAGUGGCGAACGGGUGAGUAACACGUGAGUAACCUGCCCUUGACUUUGGGAUAACUUCAGGAAACUGGGGCUAAUACCGGAUAGGAGCUCCUGCUGCAUGGUGGGGGUUGGAAAGUUUCGGCGGUUGGGGAUGGACUCGCGGCUUAUCAGCUUGUUGGUGGGGUAGUGGCUUACCAAGGCUUUGACGGGUUGCCGGCCGUAGAGGGUGACCGGCCACAUUGGGACUGAGAUACGGCCCAGACUCCUACGGGAGGCAGCAGUGGGGAAUAUUGCACAAUGGGCGGAAGCCUGAUGCAGCAACGCCGCGUGCGGGAUGACGGCCUUCGGGUUGUAAACCGCUUUCGCCUGUGACGAAGCGUGAGUGACGGUAAUGGGUAAAGAAGCACCGGCUAACUACGUG